GACGAACCGUGCGAACGUUGUUCGGAAUCACUGGGCUUAAAGGGCGCGUAGGCGGCUUGUCAAGUCAGGGGUGAAAUCCUGCAGCUCAACUGUAGAAGUGCCUUUGAUACUGACGAGCUCGAGGGAGGUAGGGGUCGCUGGAACUUCUGGUGGAGCGGUGAAAUGCGUUGAUAUCAGAAGGAACGCCGGUGGCGAAAGCGAGCGACUGGAUCUCUACUGACGCUGAGGCGCGAAAGCUAGGGGGAGCAAACGGG
rnacentral:rRNA from 1 species